rnacentral:lncRNA from 1 species
UACAUUGUAAUCAAUUAUUCUUUUCUCUCUGACUUCUCAAUCUGUACUGAAUCAGGGGUUGUUCAUGAAAAUAGUUUUCACACAAACAAAAUUUACAAAAUUAUAAUUUAUUUUAUAAAUCUCACAUCAAAUCUACAUGCUUAUGCAUGUAUGUGGUUUUAAGAUUGCAUCGCACAUGCCAUUACUUUCAUUUUCAAAUUUAUCACUGAUGGUUUAAACUGUAUAAUGUAGGCUGCAUUAUUUUGCAACUUGUCCACUGUGCCUCCACCAAUACCAUUAAAUUCCCACUAAGUUGCACUGAAUUAAAGCCAGGUUUAACAUUCAAUUAUUGGUUAAAGCUUGAUGAUGAGAACGAACAAACGAAACGUCCUCUGGAUAAAGUUUGUACAUGUUUAAAAUCUACCAAUGUCAUUACACACUCAUCUACAUGUACAUGUAUGUGACGCAUAAUUCCGGUUAGGUUGUAACUUCAAGUCAUUUGUUAAAGCUUG